CUAUUUUUACCGAUGUAUCAGUAGCUUCUGAUUAAAUUUUUAAUACCGAGAAACUAGAUCUGGACAAAAUGUUGAGGAAAAAUAUGUCAUCGUACGGCGUGAAUCAUACAUAAAGCGUAUCCGUGUUUCCUUCUCUCUCAGUGCCCCGCGCUCAAGAGCGCCCACGACGAACGCCUGGCCGAGCGCACACUAACGCGUUGGGCAAACACACGAAUACACGCGCGUGCACACCACGGGGGUACUGUUCGCACCUAGAAGGGUAGAUCUUCCCGAAGGUGGUAAACGCGGGAGAAAAGCGUUCUGCGAGAUCUGAGAGAAUAGGGUGCUAACAUCGCGCUGUGGGAUAGUAGGAGAGGGGGCGGCUAUGGUGGAAGCACUUUUGUCGGGAUAUACUCGAGCCAAGAAACCGUGAACCAGCCAGUCAGCCAAGCAGCCCACGUAAUAUAAAGAGAUAUGUGCCGCGGAAUAGCAUUACCAUUAGGAGAUAUAGUUUAGCGGAGGAGGCGGCACAGAUGAAAUGAGAUACUGCGGCUGAAUCAUGCAUGAAGCGAAGAAGGUGCGAUUCGCCGUUCUCCUCGCUCUCGACCGUCGCUGUACACGUUUAUCUCGUGUUCUAUGUUCCAUCGCGAGAUGAAACAUCCAGUAUUUUUCUACGUCGGCGAAUCCAUCGCAGGAGCUCGAAACUCCGGGAGAGAAAUUCCGACGAGCGCGGGUCAAAGGGCAAAAAGUGUCUUCGAAGAAAGAAAUUCGGAAUCACGACGUGAAUGAAGUAGGCGGGAGGACCAGAUGGUGGUGGCCGCGGAGACAGUAGUGGGAGCACUUAUGCAUUUAUGCAUUCAUAUUUCCGCGGUCUCCGUUCUCGAGACGAACCGUAAGACGACGACAACGUCGUCGUCGUCGUCGUCGUCGUCAUAGGAGCGCCCGAACCACAGCGAUAUUCCACGCCGUCGAGAAAGAGGAAAGGUAGGGAAGCGAAAGAGGUGGGCGGAAAGUUGCUCCGGAAUAAUAAUACACGCCGGCGCCCGCGCUAGCUCCGCUCUCGCAGGAAAAAAUCUGAAUACAUGAAACGUAAUGACAGAGUGUGUACGCCUCCGCUUUCGCCGGAGCGGUCGCCAGAUUCAGGAUAGCCGUGUCAGGAGGAGCAGAUGUCGUAGGAGUGCCUGAACCAAGUCUUCGACUUUGUUACGAUAUCGGCUUAUCUCGCAAAUCGCGAAAAAACUCAAGGAGAAGAAGAAUGUUACACCCUCCUAUACGUCAUAUUUAUUACAAUAAUUAUUUAAUAAAAAUCUUCAGCUUACAGGAGUAAAAACUAGAAUGUUUCGAGUCAAAGUCAGAAACAAUGAGUAAAGAAAUAAAUUUUUUCAUCACAGUUUUAAUAAAAAAGAUAUAAAAAUGAUACCAUUGUUCUUCGGUGAAAGAAUCGCUGAAAUUGUUGUUGAAUGUCAAAAUCUUGAAUGCAAUGAUGACGUAAAUUUGCUCGGUCCGCCAGUAACGAUGAUGACCAUCGAAGAACGAGGUUAUCGAGGACGACCAGAAGGACGUUGGCGAGAGAAAACAGUCGGGGACGCCGAUGGCGUAAGGGUAGGAAGGUAGAUGGAUGAAAGGAAGGAAGGAAGGAAGGAAGGAAGGAAGGGCGCCGUCGUACCCGUGGCUCCGCCUAUCGGCGCGCCGGCUCGCGGUGGUGAAUACAUUUAGCCUGAUGAGGAAAGACUCGGGACGGACGUCGGCUACCCCUACCAGGAGUGGUGCCAGUGUUCCUUGCUCUGCUCCCUAUGCUAUGCUCGACUCGGCCCGGCUCCUCGUCGCUCGUCGGAUGGAUAUAGAACCCUUAGUUCGUAUUCCUCUCCCUGUCUGCUAGGAACCCCGUCGUGGUUCGUCUCGCAGCCGGUAAAUUCAAAGACGGCGACGACGACGUCGUCGUCGUUGUCAUUCUCGCGCUCGUGCUUCCGGCGAGACACGUUUUUCGGAGUAUCGGUCUCUCAGUGAAUUUUCAAAGUGUCUACCCUCACCUCGCAAGUGACAGGGUUAAUCUAGGUGAUCACGUGCUCUAGCAUGCGAUCGCGACCACGUGCUACACAAGGUUACCCAUGAGGAUUGAACAAAUGGCGAGAUCGACGUUCGCCGUUUCUUAUCAGCACCUUCUUAUCGGGCUUAUAUCGUGGUAACGAUAAAGAGAUGCACCCUCUGAACUCGGUCGAGUAUACGAGCGAGAAGAAAAGGACAGGCCGCUGUCGGUCGCAACAGCAGAAGAAGCGGAAGAGGAAGAAGAGACCGCGGCGAAGAAGUAGCGGGGCGGGGACGGAACUCCGUCGUAAAUCACCAGCAGUACGGAAUAACUGGCAAAAGCGCGAUAAAUCAGGGAUCCCCGGGCACCGAAUUAGGAAAUUGCCUGCUUAAAAACCGCAAUGACGUUAAUCCCAGCGUGCCAGCAAGUCAGCCAGCCAACCAGCCAACCAACGAACCAACCAACCAACCAACCGAGCAACCAGUCAGCCAACCAACCAACCAACCAGUCAGCCAGCCAGCCAGCGAGCUGCCGUUCGACGAGAAAUAGCAGCCAUGAAACGAAGGAAACCCGGGAAGACGAUAAUCAGGAGGGAACUGCAAAUAUUCUUAACUUCAGAAGAAUAUUCUCAACUUCGAGAAACGAAUUUAUUCUUCGUGCAACUUCUGUUCCAUGAUCGAGUUUAGCGAAAUAUCUCGCGCUUGAACAAGAAAUAAAUGUUCCAACUCACUGAGAGCUCUUAUCUUGCAACAAAAAACCCAUGAUCCUUAAGCGAUAACCACAGCGGACUCGCUAAUCCGCCAAUCAAAUUAAUUGGACUGCGUACUUCCGCGCGUUGAUGAAAAAUGCCGCCAAAAACAAGUCAGCUUCGGAACAUUAAUCAAGAGGAGAAUAAAAAGGUAAUAUUAACGCUAGUCGGCAACGGUGGCCGGCAUCAAAGAACCUCCCCUUCCUCCUUCAUUUCUACAGCAGCGUAUUUAGAAAAUUUUUAGAUAAAUUGGAUAAAUUCCAUUUUAUAUUUUUGUUAAUUUCAA
rnacentral:lncRNA from 1 species